UUAGGGGUUUCUGGUUUUUCAAGAAAUGAAUUUAAUUCAUGCGUCUUAUUUAGAGUUUUAUUAUUUUUUUAUUUUUUUUUAUUUGGCGUUAAGAUUGGGAGGGAUUAGCUUCUUAUUUUAUUUUUAUAAUUUCUAUGUUUAUUUAGUCUUGUGGAUUUUAUGGUGAUUUUCAAUUUGAUUAUGUUAAAAUUUUAUCUAUUUUUUUUCUUUAUUUUAUUUUAUUUAAUUAUUUAUUGAAAUGUAUUCUUUAUCUUUAAUUUUGGUUAGUAAUUAUUGUGGAAUUAGUAAAUUUGUUGUUAGGUUGUUUUACGUUUAGUGUUAAUUUUUUUUAAGGAACUAGGCAAAUUUCAUGUCCGCCUGUUUAACAAAAACAUCUUUUCUCGUUAGUUUUUGAAGUAUGGCCUGCCCGCUGACUUUAGUGUUGAAGGGCCGCGGUAUUUUGACCGUGCAAAGGUAGCAUAGUCAUUAGUUCUUUAAUUGUGAUCUGGUAUGAAUGGCUUGACGAGGCAUGGGCUGUCUUAAUUUUGAAUUGUUUAUUGAAUUUGGUCUUUGAGUUAAAAUUCUUAGAUGUUUUUAUGGGACGAGAAGACCCUAUAGAGUUUGACAUUUAUUAUGGUCUACUUUCAUGUUUGUGAGGGAUCACUGGGCCGUUUAAUAUGUUUUGUUGGGGUGAUGGGAGGGAUAUAAUUUAA
rnacentral:rRNA from 1 species